GCUUUCGUGGUGCAGUAGUCAGCGCGCUGGACGCGUGUUCUAGAGGUCCGUGGUUCGAGUCCCGGCGAAGGCG
rfam:Stegodyphus mimosarum contig32394, whole genome shotgun sequence.